rnacentral:rRNA from 1 species
GAUGAACGCUAGCGGGAGGCCUAACACAUGCAAGCCGAGCGGUAUUGUUUCUUCGGAAAUGAGGGAGCGGCGUACGGGUGCGUAACACGUGUGCAACCUGCCUUUAUCUGGGGGAUAGCCUUUCGAAAGGAAGAUUAAUACUCCAUAAUAUAUUGAACGGCAUCGUUUAAUAUUGAAAGCUCCGGCGGAUAGAGAUGGGCACGCGCAAGAUUAGCUAGUUGGUGAGGUAACGGCUCACCAAGGCGAUGAUCUUUAGGGGGCCUGAGAGGGUGCUACCCCACACUGGUACUGAGACACGGACCAGACUCCUACGGGAGGCAGCAGUGAGGAAUAUUGGUCAAUGGGUGCAAGCCUGAACCAGCCACCCCGCGUGAAGGACGACUGCCCUAUGGGUUGUAAACUUCUUUUGUAUAGGGAUAAACCUACCCUCGUGAGGGUAGCUGAAGGUACUAUACGAAUAAGCACCGGCUAACUCCGUGCCAGCCGCCGCCGUAA